rnacentral:rRNA from 1 species
GGCUCAGCCAUACACCGAAACUGCGGGUGCAUCCUUCGGGAUGCGCGGUAGCGGAGCGUUCUGUAAGUCUGCGAAGGGAGACCCGCGAGGGCUCCUGGAGAUAUCAGAAGUGCGAAUGCUGACAUGAGUAACGAUAAAGAGUGUGAGAGACACUCUCGCCGAAAGUCCAAGGGUUCCUGCGCAACGCUAAUCGGCGCAGGGUUAGCCGGCCCCUAAGGCGAGGCCGAAAGGCGUAGUCGAUGGGAAUGCAGUUAAUAUUCUGCAGCUUGUGGGUAGUGACGGAUGCCGUGUGUUGUAUCUCCUUAUUGGAUUGGGGGUGCAGCGAAGGUGUUCCAGGAAAUAGCUCCCACGUAUAAACCGUACCCGAAACCGACACAGGUGGACUGGUAGAGCAUACCAAGGCGCUUGAGAGAACUAUGCUGAAGGAACUCGGCAAAAUGCUCCCGUAAGUUCGCGAGAAGGGAGACCUCAUGGUGGGCAACCACUGUGGGGUGGCACAGACCAGGGGGUGGCGACUGUUUAUCAAAAAACACAGGGCUCUGCGAAGUCGCAAGACGACGUAUAGGGUCUGACGCCUGCCCGGUGCUGGAAGGUUAAGAGGAGGUGUGCAAGCACCGAAUUGAAGCCCCAGUAAACGGCGGCCGUAACUAUAACGGUCCUAAGGUAGCGAAAUUCCUUGUCGGGUAAGUUCCGACCUGCACGAAUGGCGUAACGACUUCCCCGCUGUCUCCAGCAUAGACUCAGUGAAAUUGAAUUCCCCGUGAAGAUGCGGGGUUCCUGCGGUCAGACGGAAAGACCCCGUGCACCUUUACUACAGCUUCACACUGGUAUUCGUCACGACAUGUGUAGGAUAGGUGGUAGACGUUGAAGCCUUGGCGCCAGCUGAGGUGGAGUCACCCUUGAAAUACCACCCUUGUCGUCAUGGAUAUCUAACCGCGGUACAACCAUAUCCGGGACCGUGUGUGGCGGGUAGUUUGACUGGGGCGGUCGCCUCCCAAAUGGUAACGGAGGCGCGCGAAGGUGGGCUCAGAGCGGUCGGAAAUCGCUCGUUGAGUGCAAUGGCAUAAGCCUGCCUGACUGCGAGACUGACAAGUCGAGCAGAGACGAAAGUCGGCCAUAGUGAUCCGGUGGUCCCUCGUGGAAGGGCCAUCGCUCAACGGAUAAAAGGUACGCCGGGGAUAACAGGCUGAUGA